AUUGAACGCUGGCGGAAUGCUUUACACAUGCAAGUCGAACAGCAGCACGGACUUCGGUCUGGUGGCGAGUGGCGAACGGGUGAGUAAUGUAUCGGAACGUGCCCAGUCGUGGGGGAUAACGUAGUGAAAAUUACGCUAAUACCGCAUACGAUCUAUGGAUGAAAGCGGGGGAUCGCAAGACCUCGCGCGAUUGGGGCGGCCGAUAUCAGAUUAGGUAGUUGGUGGGGUAAAGGCCCACCAAGCCAACGACCUGUAGCUGGUCUGAGAGGACGACCAGCCACACUGGAACUGAGACACGGUCCAGACUCCUACGGGAGGCAGCAGUGGGGAAUUGUGGACAAUGGGCGAAAGCCUGAUCCAGCCAUUCCGCGUGCAGGAUGAGGGCCCUCGGGUUGUAAACUGCUUUUGUACAGAACGAAAAGGUUUCUACUAAUACUAGGAGCUCAUGACGGUACUGUAAGAAUAAGCACCGGCUAACUACGUGCCAGCCGCCGCCGUAA
rnacentral:rRNA from 1 species